GUAGAUGAGGGUGUUUUGAGCCUGGGACUGAAGAAGGUGUUGCCCUGGUGAGAAUGGUUAUAGCCAAAAGCGGAGAAAAAAAUUCUUGGGCUCGAAAUCUUUGAACAUUCAUCCAGCAUCCCAUCCUUUACCUCACUGGCAUGGAUGCAGCAACCAGGUUCCAUCUUGGAAGCAGAGACUGGGCCCUCAUCAGACACAGGACCUGCCAGCACCUCGAUCUUGUACAUCCAGCCUCAAGAACUGGUUAAUCCAGUGCAGAAACAGCUUCAUCUUGUUAUCCAAGCCAACUUCUGGAGCUUCUGGAAGGAUGAUGCUCUUCCAAGCUGAGAAAUGAUCACAGACCAGACUAGCAGCUGGGAGACUGCAAAGAAGAAGAGAUUACCUUUUCAUGAGAAACAGCAGCUUCCACAACUUCUCGGCUUCUUCCUGUGAAGUUCUCCUAGCUGAAGAAACAGAAGAUAGUGAGUGUUAUGUGGAACUGGAGAGGAUUCAGGGACAUCCUAUAAGAAGCUGAAGGCCUUUUAAUGAGAAGAUACUGAAAACCCCAGAGUCAGAACACUAAGUCACAUCUGUGUAUAACUUAACCGUUUACGAUGUGUUGUUCUGCACCUUGUCUCAUUUGUCCUUCACCAUCACACUGGGAGUGAGGAAGGAUCAUCACAUGCCCAUUUUAUGGAGAACAAGACUGAGAGUUGAAGAGACUUCCACAGGUUUGUAAAACUAGUAAAUGACAGAGUUGAGGACUUCUGCCCUAAUUCCUCAUUCUUUAUUCUCAGGAGGAUAAGAUAGAGAAUUUUUUAAUGUGCCUAGGCUCUGAUUUUCCACCCAAGGAAGUCUUCCAUGAGAAAUUGUCCCUGGGGGGUACUAGAGUCUGCAGUGGUUAGAGCACCUGCUGUUAGCAGCAGGGGUCAUAGAGGGUCAGGAUCCGUGGGAACCUCACUCACAGCAGAAGUGAAUUAGAGGAGAGACUGGGACUUUACCUCUUGAUGUUCUAUCUCCAGACUUUUGUUGGACUCUUCGGUGACACUUAAAGACAAAAACAUUAGAAUGCAAAGCUGCUACACCAUUUUUUCCCAUAUCUAAAAUGAAACAAAACUCAUAAAC
rnacentral:lncRNA from 1 species